rnacentral:tRNA from 35 species
CGGAGCGUAGCGCAGUCUGGUAGCGCACCUGCUUCGGGAGCAGGGGGUCGGAGGUUCGAAUCCUCUCGCUCCGACCA